AGAAAAGUAGGUGCCGCCCCGCACAGGGGCGACGCGUGAAGCACGCUAACGUAACGCGGAUGCCAGCGCAAAAGGCAAAAAAACGAAGAACAACGCGCGCCUCGGCACGACAAAC
rfam:Paraburkholderia caribensis strain Bcrs1W chromosome 1, complete sequence.